rnacentral:lncRNA from 1 species
CGCAGGUACAGCCCUAAAAGGAAAAAAGACCAAAAAAAAAGCAGGAGCUAUUAUUUCAUUAGUGGCGGUCAGAAGUCAGCCACUGCCCCCUGCCAUCCCCAGGAGAGCUGGUUAAACUCUGUCCAGACCCCAAUCCCAUGGCCUGUGAGAGUCCAGGCCUCUUCCUUCAAUUUGGGUGGGUUCCCACCUGUGGUUUUCAGGGCAUCCUGAGACGUCCCUUCUCUUGGGACGAGAUGUACAAAGCCAAGUACAAAGCCAGCCCCCUCGGGGGCUCCGUUAGUCCUCUGGGAAAGCGGGUCCUCCUAGGGAACUUUCACAUCCUGCUCCGGCACCAUCUCCACCCUGGCAGGUGGGGGAGCCUGGCGCCCUAGGGGGGAUCCCACCUGGCCUCAGGGUGCUGCCCCAUCUCUACCCUGAUACCCAUUUGCCACCCUUGCAUGUAGCAGCUUUUCCCUGUCCCCAUGUCCAUCCCUCACUCCGCCUUGUCCCUGGUCCUCACCCUCUGCUUUUUCCUCUCCCAUUCAAUGUGCACUUCACCCGUGAAGGCCGGAGGGGGGGUUCGCUUUUUUUUCUGUUUUUUUUUUUUUUUAAGGGCCGCACCUUCGGUAUAUGGUAGUUCCCGGGCUAGGGGCUGAGUCAGAGCCACAUUUGCCAGCUUAGAGCACAGCUCACAGCACAGCUCACAGCAACGCCAGAUCCUUAACCCACUGAGCAAGGCCCAGGAUCGAACCCGUGUCCUCAUGGAUCCCAGUUGGGUUUAUUAGCCACUGAGCCACAACGGGAACUCCCCAGCAGGGGUUUUCUACAACAGAGCUUUCCCUUGGUGAAACCCUGCUCUGAUCCCCAGUGUCCCUUAUAGCCAAGUCUUGGCACAUGAGCCCUACCCCGGCCCCCUCUCUCUGUCCCUUCAGGAUCCCUGGACUCCAGAUUUCCACCACAGAAAGGCAUCUGCAGCACCCAAGGGUGCCCAGCCAGGCACCUGUCUGUCCUUACCCCUCUCCUCCACAUGCACUGGCCCACUCCCGCCCCUCCCCUGCUAAACCAGGACUCAGAUCAGUAAACAUCUGCCGCCUCCAAGAAGUCCUCCCAGAUCCCCAAGGCGGGGCGAGAUGCCUGCUCUAGCUUCCGUAGCCCUUGCACUGGACACAUACUCUCCACCUGGCUCCCUCAGACUGUGAUUCCCCUGAAGCCAGGGACCAGCUCUGAUUUGCCUCUGUUUCCCCAGGGCCUGGCACAAAGCACAUGGAGUCUCAGCUGGAUGGGUGUUUGUUGAUUGACUGACUGACCGAAUGGAAGUGAAAGACUAUUGAGCCAGUCACCCUCCAGACUGGGCAAGCCACAGCCUCCGCCUCACCCCCACGCCAAAUGGCAAAGGGCUGGGUCUCCCCAUAAACCAGCUGGGAAGCCUGGCAGCCAGCCCGAGGGGCUAGGCGCUAAUGGCAGUUUCCAGUACAUGAAAGGGCCUAAGCCGUGACUGUGAGUCACCGCUGUCAACCCAGCACCCCAUCAGGAUUUUACAAGGGCUCUGAGGCCCCAGGGAAGGGGGUGCUCGCAUUGGCAGAGCUUUGGCCGGGAACAGACGUUUUAGACAGCAUCCCUGUGGACGCCGGCCAAAGCCCUUUGAAAUGCUGUCACCAAUUUACAGAGGAGGAAACCGAGGCUCCGAGAGGGGACGUGACUCACCGAGGUCAAGAAUGUAGUGAGUCACAUCGCGGCAUGUCUGGCAGCAGAGCCCAAGGCUUCUCCUUACUCAGGCCGCCUCCUCCGACAGAAAAGUAUCUGCCUUUUGUGGAGCACGUGCUGUGUGCCAGGCCCUGGACAUGCAUGAGCCCCCGUCUUAAAGAAGAAUAAUCUCAUUCAUUAAUUUCAAUCAUGAGAAUGAAUAAUCUCAGUCAUUGCAUUAUUUUUUUAAUGUGUAUUUAUUUUUUAUUCCUUUCUUUUCCUGGCACAUUUUUGAGGGUUUUUUUUUUUUCUCAUUGUCUAAAGUUUUACUAAAGUCUAGUUGAUUUACAAGGCUGUGAUCAUUUGCACAGCAAAGGGACUCAGUUACACAGAGACACGUAUCCAUUCUUUUUCAGAUUCUUUUCCUAUGCAGAUGAUCACAGACUAGACAGACAGCACAUUAGCGCCUUUAAUCCCCAGAACAACCCCCGAGGGAGGGGAAGUUCCCAGCUAGGGGUUGAAUCGGAGCUGCAGCUGACGGCCUACCCCACAGCCACAGGAAAGCAGGAUUCAAGCCGCAUAGGCAACCUACACCACAGCUCAUGGCAGCGCUGGGUCCUUAACCCACUAAGUGAAGCCAGGGAUUGAACUUGCAUCCUCAUGGAUCCUAGUUGGGCUCCUAACCUGUUGAGCCACAGCGGGAACUCCUGCCUCCAUUUUGUAUGUGAGGAGCUGGGACUCAGCAGCACAGGAGUUGCAGGGGCUGGAGUCCAGGUCUGUGGGCCUCGUAGCACAAGGGGCUUCCUGGGCUGAACAAGGUUUUUCUUUGGAAACUGCCUGGAGGCCACGUGCCUCGGGUCCCCUGCUUGGGGCAAAGGUGUGGAGGGAGGCGUGGGGGCACCUCGGUGGGCUGACUUGGGUGAACCACCUCCACACUCCUGCUCACUUUCCCUAGCAAAGCAGAUCAAGAGCUUCCUCCCGAGUUCCCGCUGUGGCUCAGCGGUAAUGAACCUGACUAAUAUCCAUGAGGACGCAGCUUCAGUCCCUGGCCUGGUUGAGGAUCCAGUGUUGCAGUGAGCUGUGGUGUAAGUGGCAGACAUAGCUCAGAUCUGGCAUUGCUGUGGCUGUAGCAUAGGCUGGCAGCUGCAGCUCCGAUUCAACCCCGGGCCUGGGAACCUCCGUAUAUCGCAGGUAUGGCCCUAAAAAGAGAAAGAAAAAAAAAAAAGAGCUUCCUCCCAAGGGGGCCAGGCAGGCUGGAGACCCCUAGAAAGGGCAGGAAAGUGAGAGCAGCUCCAGCCUCACCCCUGGGUCCUGGGCGUACCAACCACUCUUUCUUCUCCAAGCUCCUCACUUCUUGCAGCGUGGCUUCCUGCCUGGACCUCCAACCCCACUCCCUGGACUCCCACCCCAGACCCUCCCCCGCUCUGGCCACCCUGGACCCAUUCUUUCCAAGCUCCCCCCUUGCAGUUCCUCGAGGUCCUGGUUCAGCCACAGAGCCUCUGUGCCUCCUCCCCCAUCCGUGUAGGGGGUGGCGCCCGCAUCCCAAAGUUGCUCAUUUUGCUUGGCCACCUGCUAACCCUGUGACCUUCGAUGAGCUUCAAGAGGGAGGGCAGCUGACUGCACUGGGCAAGCGGGUGUGCUGGGUGACUAAUGGUGGACACGCUUCACCUGCAGGGUGACAUUUCCGCACUGAUGCGGAGGAGCCGAGGGGGUGCUGCCGAGAGACCUUUGCGUGGGACCCAGCCGGCUGUGACCCUGGGGCAGAUUCUCACAUUCUCCCGUUUCCUUAGGAAGACGGGUUUGGAGGAAUUUUCAGCCCCAUGCCCAGGGUUCCCCCCAUACCCCAGACCCCGACCUCAUGCAUCCUCUCGCCUCUUCGCUUGCUCCUUCAUUGAUCCAUUCAUUCAGGCAAAGCCUGUGCCUGUACAGGAACAUUCAUUGCUGCUUUGGAAUGAGUCGGAAGCGUUUAUUAUUUUUAUGCUGUUAUCUAUUUUUUGCUUUUUAGGGCCACAGGUGCAGCAUAUGGACAUUCCCAGGCUAGGGGUCCAAUCGGAGCUGCAGCCACCGGCCCACGCCAGAGCCACAGCAACGCGGGAUCCGAGCUGUG